rnacentral:rRNA from 1 species
CGGACGGGUGAGUAACGCGUGGGUAACCUGCCUUGUACUGGGGGACAACAGUUAGAAAUGACUGCUAAUACCGCAUAAGCGCACAGUAUCGCAUGAUACAGUGUGAAAAACUCCGGUGGUACAAGAUGGACCCGUGUCUGAUUAGCUAGUUGGUAAGGUAAGGGCUUACCAAGGCGACGAUCAGUAGCCGACCUGAGAGGGUGACCGGCCACAUUGGGACUGAGACACGGCCCAA